AGCCGCCACCGGCUGACCUCUCCAAUUACUUUCGCCGCCUCCUCGCUUCCCGCAUGGAGUUUAUUGGCAGAUGCUUCACCUUCCUGGCAUUCCCGAUGCUGAGCCCCGUCCUUUUAUACUGUGACGCCCGCUGGAUGGCGAGUCAAUCAUCGGAGAGGCGGGGACGAGGAGCUCCGAACCUUAGCCGGCUCGCUGGAGACGGACGCUAGCCGGCCGCGCUGGUCGCGCCACCCUCCGGCGGAACUGCGGAUCUAUGCCCACAGGCCACAGCCACAGGACGAUUCUGCAAGGCUGCAAGCCUGCAACGUAAGCCCCCUGUUUCGAUCUUGUGUUCAUCUUUUUUCCCCCAUCUAAAAAUCUGAAACUCCUAUAGGCCAUAGUGCCUGUAUUAUUGCAUCUGAUGUCAGUCUAGUUAGAGAAAUCAUUCUUUUAUUGAACUGUUGAUGAAUACGUAGGCUAAUUGCCGAACUGUAGUAUUGUCAACAUGCCGUUGAUGAAUAUCAUAUUUCUGUCAACCUGCUUUGUACUAUCCAUUGCCAACCAUCUGCUUUGUAAUUUCGUCCAGCAAAGUAUGCUGAUGAAUACAAGAUUUUGUACUAUUCAUUGCCAACCAUCUGCUUUUAUUUGUUUGUAUGGAAUACUUGUUGACAAUGAAACUUGGUUUGACUGUAAAUGUCGCCCGAGGUUCAAGAGAUUGUGGGGACAGACACUGUUGUGCCUUCUUCAGCUCUAACAGCAGCUGGUGUAGUACCUAUGGACGUCGAGAAGGCCGUUGGCAGUGAUCACGCUGUCGUGAGGACUUCAGAACUUCUCUUACUCCUUUUAUGGUAGAAGUUCUUGUAUGCACUCAAGAUUGGCUUCGACAUGGCACUCCUCCCAGCAUAGCAGAGAACAUUGAAGAGCUCACCAAGCUUGAACAAGGAGAAAGCAAAGCUGCAAAGCAAUGCCAAGUCCACCACCACCGCAAAGCCUACUUAAGAAUUGUUCUGGAUAACUUGUUGAUGAAGGCCGGAGCAGAAGUUUUGGAUAGCUUGAUGAUGAAGGUUGGAGCAAAAGUGAAGCUUCCAAGUUUAGAUGUUGGCGAAUUCCGAGCAGUGAUAAUGCUCUUAUAUGCUGCCUGCUACUAUCUAUUUCCUAUUUCCAAAUUAAGUCCUGAGGGCUAAGUUAUUGUUGAACUUUACUGUUAUUGUCGUGUCUUGAGACUUGAGUUGGUUCGUCUGCUAAAUUA